UGGGCCGAACUGACGCUGAGGAGCGAAAGGGUGGGGAGCAAACAGGCUUAGAUACCCUGGUAGUCCACCCCGUAAACGUUGGGAACUAGUUGUGGGGCCGUGACGCAGCUAACGCAUUAAGUUCCCCGCCUGGGGAGUACGGCCGCAAGGCUAAAACUCAAAGGAAUUGACGGGGACCCGCACAAGCGGCGGAGCAUGCGGAUUAAUUCGAUGCAACGCGAAGAACCUUACCAAGGCUUGACAUACAGGUGGUGCAUGGUUGUCGUCAGCUCGUGUCGUGAGAUGUUGGGUUAAGUCCCGCAACGAGCGCAACCCUCGUUCUAUGUUGCAACUCAUGGGAUACUGCCGGGGUCAACUCGGAGGAAGGUGGGGAUGACGUCAAAUCAUCAUGCCCUUAUGUCUUGGGCUUCACGCAUGCUACAAUGGCCGGUACAAAGGGCUGCAAUACCGUAAGGUGGAGCGAAUCCCAAAAAGCCGGUCCCAGUUCGGAUUGAGGUCUGCAACUCGACCUCAUGAAGUCGGAGUCGCUAGCAAUCGCAGAUCAGCACGCUGCGGUGAAUA
rnacentral:rRNA from 1 species